rnacentral:rRNA from 1 species
UACGUAGGGUGCAAGCGUUGUCCGGAAUUAUUGGGCGUAAAGAGCUCGUAGGCGGUCUGUCACGUCGGCUGUGAAAACCCGAGGCUCAACCUCGGGCCUGCAGUCGAUACGGGCAGACUAGAGUUCGGUAGGGGAGACUGGAAUUCCUGGUGUAGCGGUGAAAUGCGCAGAUAUCAGGAGGAACACCGGUGGCGAAGGCGGGUCUCUGGGCCGAAACUGACGCUGAGGAGCGAAAGCUAGGGUAGCGAACGGG